ACAGUUCCAACAUUGAAGGUCAGGUGCCCAUGUUUCCUUUCAAGUCCCUGAAAUAUACUUAUAAUGGUGCCUGGCAUAAAGAAGGGUAAAAAAAAUAAUUUUGGCCUGGACUUGAAGGAAUUCUGAGGCGGAAUACCAGGUGGAAGAAAUAGCUAGCAGCUGGGAGAAAGAAAUUAGAAAUAAUUAAGUGCAUUCACUCCAGAUGAGUCAACAUCUGUACACAAAGGAUAGCGACCAUUCAGCAAGGCUGCUGCUGUUUCCUAUGGUGAAAUACUGAAAAUGUCAGCGGGACUUAACACAGAGGUGAACUCUACAUUAUAAAGGUGAAAACACGCUGAAAACGUUUAACUAAAAUAUGUUGUACAUAAAACAUAGUCUAUGAUAAUCAAUAUCUCUAUGUUUUAUAUCCUUUUAAAAAUGUUCGUUGCAGUAGUAGAUAUAAUUGUACUGUCCUCCUUAUCAACAGAGUACCUCAUAUUUACAUAUUAAUUUUGAAUUUUAAAAGGCUUAUUUUACCUUGAUCAUUUGUGCCUUAUAGCACUCCUGUGAAGCAGAAAGGGCUAAUAUUAACAUCUUUAAUUUACAGAUAAGAAAACUGACAAUCACAGGAGCUAUUCAGUGGGGGUACUGGGUUUCAAGAUACCUUUUUUUUCAUUCACAUACAAUUUUAUUUAUACAAUAUUAUGCCACUUUAAAUACCUCAUAUUAUUUUUAUAUUUAUGGAAACUGAGCCCCUGACUUGAGUUACUCUGGUAACUGUAUUCUUAUUUCUGAUACUUCGAAGAGUGAAGUCAAUUUUAAGAUAGAAGUUUGGGGAUAAAGGUAUAAAUG